rnacentral:lncRNA from 1 species
ACAGCCACUCCCCAUUGCCUGAAUAGUAUGGGAUCCCGAACAGGGAGUUUGGGUCAAUGAUGACUCCUGAGCUCAAGUGAUCCACCCGCCCCGGCCUCCUUGAAUGAAUAAGAGCCGACUGGAAGAGCUGACAUAGAUCACACUAGCCCCUGGGGUAAGCACUUAAGUGCAUCAAUUCAUUCACUCUUCACAAUAUGUGAGAGGUACAAUUAGUGUCCCAGUUUCCAGGUGAAGAAAACAAGGCAUAAAAUAUAGAACUGCCAGUCCUCAAUGGCUUGCCUCUCUGCUCCAGAGCCACCCUGCUUUGUGACCCUGGAGCUGGCGGCACAUUAGGUCUUGUCAACAGAGGGCACCAGAGGGACGCCGCAGGACCACAGUCUUGGGAAGCCCCUUCCUGUGCAGGAUCUGGUCCUCCAUUGUUCCUGUUCAGUGUGGGAGCUCAGGGGCCACCUUGGCAGAGCUCCAGCUGCAUGCUCAGGCCACAGUGUUCUUACAGGUAGCUGCUUCUGCAGACUAGCUCUGGCCCUCGCCUUCUGGAAAGUCAUUUGCCUGCAGCAGGCUGUGUGCUCUUAAAAAAUAAGACUGAAUCCCUGCCUGGGGGUGGGGGGUGAGGGGACCCUCCUCCUCCCUCCUUCCUUUAGCAUCCCCUCUCCCUCAGCAAGAGGCAGUGGCUGCUUCUGUGCACCUGCUACUUCUGUACCCCUUAGACGCCUCUAUUACCUCUUUUAGUAACUAACCGUCUUCUAAGACUUAACAAUUAUUUACAUUAAAUUUUCCCUGGGUAUAGUAUGAGUAGGGUAAUGUAGUGUAUCAGAUACAGAAUUGGCCAGGGUUGUACCACCACGAA